rnacentral:rRNA from 1 species
AUUCCAGCUCCACUAGUGUAUGCUAAAGCUGCUGCAGUUAAAAAGUUCGUAUUUGGAUUUUUGGUUUCGAUGUCGAGUCCCUCCAUUUUGGUGUGUGACUUUUUGUCGAGCCUUCUGGAUGCACCUUUCGGGGUGUAUUCUGGUUACCGUGAGGAAAUUGGAGUGCUCAAAGCAGGCGUAUGCAGCUGAACACAUUAGCAUGGGAUAACAAGGCAGGACUCUUUUCUUGUUUUGUUGGUUUCUCGUAGAAGAGAGUAAUGAUUAAUAGGGGCAGUUGGGGGCAUUAGUACGGCUACGUCAGAGGUGAAAUUCGUAGAUUGUAGCAAGACUAACUUCUGCGAAAGCAUUUGUCAAGGAUGCUUUCAUUA